AAGGCAAGGGUUGCUUUCCGGAGCAAAUCACCAUUGGGGCUGGUGUUUGUUCACUGAAUACAACAUACUUUGAAGCUUCCAACCUCUUGUUUUGCAGAGUUUCUGAGAUUGCCAUCAGGAGAUAUUCACCCUAACUCAAUAUGUGCUGCUUUUCACUGCUUGUGGAAAGAGAGCAUUUUCAGAGCAAUUCAGGCUUCUCCAAGAAUGAGAAAACUUUUUGAGUGUGUUUCAAGCUACUGAAACAUCCUGUAAACAACCAGUGCACACAGAGGAUUUGGCAGUGGAGUGGCUCAUUUGCCACUCCACUCAUUUGGUGGCAAAAAGGCAAGGGUUGCUUUCUGGAGCAAUCCACCAUUGGAGCUGGUGUUCCUUCACUGAGUAUAACACGCUUUGUGAGUAGGAAGCUUCCAGCCUCUUGUUUUGUGGAGUUUCUGUGAUUGAAUUCAGGCAGUGCUGCUUUUCCCUGCUUGUGAAAGAAAAAAAAAAAGGCAUUUUCAUAGCAAAUCAGGCUUCCCUACAAAGGAGAAUAUGUUUUGAGUGGGUUUCAAGCUACUGAAACCUCCCAUAAAGAAGGGUGCACACAGAGCAUUUGGCAGUGGAGCAGCUAAUUCACCCUAUGUAUAACACAAGCCUAGGUGGCAAAAAGGCAAGGGUUCCUUUCUGGAGAAAACCCUAAUUGGGGCUGGUGUUUGUUCACUGACUACACUAUACUUUGCAUGUAGGAAGCUUCCAGACUCUUCUUUUUUGGAGUUUGUGAGAUUGCCAUCAGGGGAUUAUCGCCCACGCUUGAUAAGUGCUGCUUUUCCGCACUUGUGAAAAGAAGGCAUUUUUAUAGCAAAUUGGGCUUCUCCAUGAAGGAGAACCAUUUUCGAGCAGGUUUCAAGCUACUGAAACCUCCUGUAAACAACCAGUGCAAACAGAGCCUUUGGCAGUGGAGCAGCUCACUUGCCCUAAUUACCACACAGGCCUGGACAAAUAGGCAAGUGUUUCUUUCUGGAGCAAAGCACCACUGGGGCUGGUGUUCAUUUAGUGAGUACAAAAUACUUGGGAAGUAGGAAGCUUCCAGCCUCCUGUUUUGUGUCAUUUGUGAGAUUGCCAUCAGGCAAUUAUUGCCCUAUUUUGCUACCUCCUGCUUAUCCCCUCUUCUGAAAAGAAGGUGCCUCAUCUUUUAAGGUCUGUCCAGAAAGGAGAAAACUAUCUGAAUGUUUUUCAAGCUGCAGAAGCUCCUUGCAAAUACCUAGGGCAAACAGAGUUUUUGUCUGUGGAGCAUGUCCAUCGCCUUAGUUAUAACAGAGGCCUAGGUGGGAAAAAAGCAAGGGUUGCUUUCCAGAGCAAAGAACCAUUUGUGCUGGUAUUCUUUCACUGAAUAGUAUAUACUUUGUAAGUAGAAAGGUUCAAGCCUCUUGUUUUGUGAGUUUUCUCAGAUUGCAGUCAGGUGAUUAUUGUCCUAGCUCACAAUGUGCAGCUUUUCCCCACUAGUGAAAGGAAGGUAUUUUCAUAGCAAAUCAUAGUUCUCCCAAAAAAGAAAAAGUUCUGAGUAUGGUUCAAGAUCCUGAAACCCCUUGCAUACACCUAGUACAAACAGAACAUUUGGCAGGGGAGCAGAUCAAAUGCCCUAGUUAUAACAGAGGCCUAGGUGGGAAUAAGGCAAGGGUUGCUUUCCAGAGAUAACCAUCUUUGGGGCUGGUGUUUGUUGACUGAAUAAAAUAUACUUUGCAAGUAGGAACCUUCCAGCCUCUUGCAUUGUACAAUUGUGAGAUUGCUAUCAGUCGAUUAUCCCCUAGCUUGCUAUGUGCAGCUUUACCCUGCUUGUGAAAAGAAGGCAUUUUCAUACCAAAUCAGGCUUCUCUGGAAAGGAUAACACACUCUGAAUAUGUUUCAAGCUACCGAAGCCCCUUGCAAACACCUAGUGCAGACAGGGCAUCUAUCAAGAUUAUUAUAACAGAAUCCUCAGUGGAAAAAAUGCAAGGGUUCCUUUAAGGGGAAAACCACCAUUGGGGCUGCUGUUUGUUCCUUGAGUAGAAUAUACUUUGCAAGAAGGAAUCUUUUAGCCUCUUCUUUUGUGUCAUUUGUCAGGUUGCUAUCAGUCGAUUAUCAUCUUAGCUGGCUAGGUUCAUCAUUUCCCCAAAUAGGAAAAGAAGGUAUUUUCAUACCAAAUCAGUAUUCUCCAGAAAGGAGAACACAUUCUAGUGUGUUUCAAGCUGCUCAAAACCCUGGCAAAGACCUAAUGCAGAAAGAGCAUUUUGCAGGGAAAUGGAUCAAUCUCCCUAGUUAUGACAGACAAUUUGGUGGGUAAAUGGCAAGGGUGCUUUCUGGAGCAAACUGCCAUUGGGCUAGUGUUUGUUCACUGAGUAGAAUAUACUUUACAAAUAGGAAGCAUCCAGCCUCUUGUAUUUUGUCAUUUGUGAGAUUGCCCUCAGGCGAUUAUUGCCAUAGGUGGCUAUGUGCAGAUUUUUGCCUGCUUGUGAAAAGAAGGCACUUUCAUACCAAUUCAUGCUUCUCCAGAAAAUAGAACAUGUCUGGGGGUAUUUAAAUCUACUGAACCCCUUGCACACACCUACUGCACACAGAAUUUGGCAGUGGAGCACAUCAAUAUACCUAGUUGUAACAGAGGUCUAGGUUGGAAAAAGGCAAGGGUUUCUUUCUUGGCAAACCACCAUUGGAGCUGGUGUUCAUUCAGUGAUUAAAAUAUACUUUGCAAG
rnacentral:lncRNA from 1 species